rnacentral:rRNA from 1 species
AGUGAAAUUGAUCUCCCCGUGAAGAAGCGGGGAUAUAAAUAUAAGACGAGAAGACCCCAUGGAGCUUUAAACCCAACAACACCUAUCUAUUUUAUUCCCCCAUAUUUAUACGGUUAUGUUUGUUUGGUUUUAGGUUGGGGUGACCGCGGAGUAUAAAACAACCUCCACGAAGAAAAGACUAAUAAUCUUUAUCAGAGAAAGACAUUUCUAAGAAAUAAUAUAUUAACUUUAAAUGAUCCGAUAUUCGAUUAACGAAUCAAGUUACCCUGGGGAUAACAGCGCAAUCCACCUUAAGAGCCCUUAUCGACAGGUGGGUUUACGACCUCGAUGUUGGAUCAGGGUAUCACAGUGGUGCAGCAGCUACUAAUGGUUCGUUUGUUCAACGAUUAAAACCCU